UACGUAGGCGGCAAGCGUUGUCCGGAAUCAUUGGGCGUAAAGGGGGCGCAGGCGGGGACGCAGGUCCUUCCUGAAAGUUCGGGGCUCAGCCCCGUGAUGGGAAGGAAACCGUGUCUCUUGAGCGCGGGAGAGGGAAGCGGAAUUCCUGGUGUAGCGGUGAAAUGCGUAGAUAUCAGGAAGAACACCAGUGGCGAAGGCGGCUUCCUGGACCGCGGCUGACGCUGAGGCCCGAAAGCCAGGGGAGC
rnacentral:rRNA from 1 species